UACAGAGGCCACGAGCGUUAGGCGGAAUCACUGGGCUUAAAGCGUGUGUAGGUGGAUCGGUAAGUACCUUGUGAAAUCCCACGACUCAAUCGUGGAACUGCUUGGUAUACUGCCAGUCUUGAGGCACUCAGGGGCGAGCGGAACAAAUGGUGGAGCGGUGAAAUGCGUAGAUAUCAUUUGGAACGCCAAUGGUGAAGACAGCUCGCUGGGGGUGUACUGACACUGAGACACGAAAGCUAGGGGAGCAAACGGG
rnacentral:rRNA from 1 species